GCUUUCGUAGUUCAACGGAUAGAAUAACCCCGUCCUAAGGGGUAGAUGCAGGUUCGAUUCCUGCCGAGAGCACCA
rnacentral:tRNA from 1 species